AUUGAACGCUGGCGGCAGGCCUAACACAUGCAAGUCGAACGAGUGGCGGACGGGUGAGUAAUGUCUGGGAAACUGCCCGAUGGAGGGUGAUAACUACUGGAAACGGUAGCUAAUACCGCAUACCAUCGGAUGUGCCCAGAUGGGAUUAGCUGGUAGGUGGGGUAACGGCUCACCUAGGCGACGAUACAUAGCUGGUCUGAGAGGAUUACCAGCCACACUGGAACUGAGACACGGUCCAGCCGCCUACGGGAGGCAGAAGUGGUGAAUAUUGCACAAUGUGCGCAAUCCUGAUGCAGCCAUGCCGCGUGUAUGAAGAAGGCCUUCGGGUUGUAAAGUACUUUCAGCGAGGAGGCGUUACUCGCAGAAGAAGCACCGGCUAACUCCGUGCCAGCAGCCGCGGUAAUUC
rnacentral:rRNA from 1 species